rnacentral:rRNA from 1 species
GAUGAACGCUAGCGACAGGCCUAACACAUGCAAGUCGAGGGGUAGCAGAGAUGUAGCAAUACAUUUGCUGACGACCGGCGCACGGGUGAGUAACGCGUAUGCAACCUACCUACUACAGGGGGAUAGCCCGAAGAAAUUCGGAUUAACACCGCAUAAUACUAUUUUUUCGCAUGGAAUUAUAGUUAAAAAUUUAUUGGUAGUAGAUGGGCAUGCGUUCCAUUAGCCAGUUGGUGAGGUAACGGCACACCAAAGCAACGAUGGAUAGGGGAACUGAGAGGUUUAUCCCCCACACUGGUACUGAGACACGGACCAGACUCCUACGGGAGGCAGCAGUGAGGAAUAUUGGUCAAUGGACGAGAGUCUGAACCAGCCAAGUCGCGUGAAGGAUGACUGCCCUAUGGGUUGUAAACUUCUUUUGUGCUAGAGUAAAAAAGAGUAUGUAUACUCUCUUGCAAGUACAGUACGAAUAAGCAUCGGCUAACUCCGUGCCAGCAGCCGCAGUAAUAC